UUUAAUUUAUUUAUAUUUUCUUUCAAAAUAAAAUGCUUUAUCUGUCUUUCCUUCCAGGCCUAAUGAUAUUAAAAUUGCACCUUUCGUGCAUGCCUUGCGGCUGAAAAAUACAAAAAUGAUGGAAAAUUUGGUUUCUUUCAAAAUGAAUUCCUGGCUGUGAAAAGGAGCUCAAAAGCAAAGAUACUGAUAUCUAUCUCCCAAAAUGAGUGAAGUGAAGACGCUUCAAAAAAUAGAAAAGUGUAAGCUGCAGUUUUCUUCUGAUAUUCUUUAGAACGACAACAACAAUACAAUAUGUUGAAAGAAAUACUUGGACUGCAUUCAUCUGCCUUUAGAUUGUGCUUUUGAAUAUGACUCUGAGAAUUUUUAAUAUAUUCUUAAUAUUGGAACAGAGUCAUUCGAAUUUGGUGGGCUCAACAUGUAAUGUUUGAUCGCAAGUAUGUAUGAAAAAUCGUUUACAUAGUUUCAUUUUUCCCUUCUCAAAAUAUGAAAUUUUGCAGUCAUGCCUCUGUUUAUUAAUAUGUGAUUAUUUUGAUGAAUUAUAAAUCAGACAGAAUAAUAAAAAUAUAUAUAAGUUUUUUUUUUUAAUUUCAAAAUUUUUAUGCAUGUUAAGACAUUUUUAUUACAAGAAUAAUUACUUAUUUAGAAAUGAAGAUACUUUAUAAAAUUGUUCAUCUCCCAUUGCUGAUCCAAGUUGGAAAAAAAUAUGAGACAGUAUUAACUGUAGGGCAAUUUUUAUAUUUCUGAUCUAAUGUCAUUGUGAAAAAAUAAUCAAAAAUUAAAUUGUUGUUAGAAGGUGCAUAUAUAAAUUGCAGUUCCAGUGUGAUUGAUAUUAUUGCUCCAUAUUGUCGACCAUUUCCUUAUUUUUAGCAUUACAAAGCUCGGUAAAAAAUUAAUGUAUUGGAGAUUAGUUUCUUUCAUAAAACAUGUCUGAGCUUAAAAAAAAAUAUCUACAGUGUGUUGGAUAUAAAUAGUAUCAUUGCAUUACUCUUUCUAUAAUGGAGUAAAAAUUAGUUUUUAUUAAAAAAUUUUCCUGACAUCAAGAAUUUUUGUUUUUAAAAUUCUA